rnacentral:misc_RNA from 1 species
UUAUGCACCACAAGAACACAAAAGCAGAUUUAUUGAAUAGAUAAAUCUACUUGUUCACAGCUAUCUCACAAACAUUACAGCUUCCAAAACUUUACUUUUUACCCCAAUCAGCACCCCAAUAAUUAAUACAAAGCAUAAAGGAAAUUAAGUGAUCAAUAUAACACAUAUCAUCAUAAUUAGUAGGGAAAAUUUCUGUUCUUUUCUUUUUCCCCUUAAAGAAAUGGACUAGAAAAGCUACAGUCCAAUAAGUUUCUUACAGGCUCUAAGGAUUCUUCUUCUGCUACUCUUUCUCUUCACAGAUCUUGCUGUUGUUUCCAUUGAACCAUCGCCUUCUUCAUGAUGUGUAGGUGAUGGUAGAGCUGCAUAUUGGUCAUGGAUCCUACAAUACCUUUCAGAAACUGAGGAUGAUCUUUUCAUGGAGAAGGCUUUCUUAACAGCAGAAUGAAAUGCACAAGCUGAAGAAACUGAAGAGUUCCUCUUCAGCUUAGAACUACUAAACAUCUCUGCAUUGUUUUCUUCAUCAUCUUCUGCUUGUAGCCAUGUAAGUGAAUCCUGCAGGUUCUUGAUGUUGGUGGUGAUGAUGGUUUUAGUAGUGUUGGGAUUCUUGAAGCUCUGGUGGCUGGUUUCUUGGGGUUUUGUUUCUAAUUCUGUGUUAUUGGGUUUUUUGGGUAUUGGAGAAGUUAAAGGACAUGAAAGGUCCAUGGAUCUUGAACUGGUAGAGCCAAUGAUUUUGAUCUUGGAAUACCCUUU